GAAAGCGAUGCUAAUACCGGAUGAAGUUUAUUUUACUUAGGUGGAAUGAAUGAAAGGAUGCCUAUUCUUGAAAGCAUCUGACAGAAGAUGGGUCCGCGUACCAUUAGCUUGUUGGUGGGGUAAUGGCCUACCAAGGCGACGAUGGUUAGCUGGUCUGAGAGGAUGAUCAGCCACACUGGAACUGACACACGGUCCAGACUCCUACGGGAGGCAGCAGUGAGGAAUUUUGCGCAAUGGGGGCAACCCUGACGCAGCAACGCCGCGUGAGUGAUGAAGGCCUUUGGGUCGUANAGCUCUGUCAGUGGGGAAGAACGUGAUUAAAGUUAAUAGCUUUAAUUUAUUGACAGUACCCACAAAGGAAGCAACCGGCCUAACUCCCGUGCCAGCAGCCGCGGUAACCCGGGGGGUGCAAGCGUU
rnacentral:rRNA from 1 species